rnacentral:rRNA from 1 species
AACAAACGCUGGCGGCGUGCCUAAUACAUGCAAGUCGAACGGGGAAAGCUUUCGGGUGAGUACUAGUGGCGCACGGGUGAGGAACGCGUGGAUAAUCUGCCUUAGAGUGGGGGAUAACUAGUCGAAAGAUUAGCUAAUACCGCAUAAGACCACGAGAGCUGCGGCUUUUGAGGUCAAAGGUUUUUCGCUCUAAGAUGAGUCCGCGUAAGAUUAGCUAGUUGGUGAGGUAACGGCUCACCAAGGCGACGAUCUUUAACUGGUCUGAGAGGAUGAUCAGUCAAAAGGGAACUGAGACACGGUACAGACGACUACGGGAGGCAGCAGUAGGGAAUAUUGCACAAUGGAGGAAACUCUGAUGCAGCGACGCCGCGUGAGUGAUGAAGGCCUUCGGGUCGUAAAGCUCUGUCGCAGGGGAAUAACACAAUGAAGGUACCCUGUAAGAAAGGAUCGGCUAACUUCGUG